rnacentral:rRNA from 1 species
AUGAGUGGCGAACGGGUGAGUAACACGUGAGUACCUGCCCUCUUCUUUGGGAUAACGCCCGGAAACGGGUGCUAAUACUGGAUAUUCACUGAUCUUCGCAUGGGGGUUGGUGGAAAGGUUUUUUCUGGUGGGGGAUGGGCUCGCGGCCUAUCAGCUUGUUGGUGGGGUGAUGGCCUACCAAGGCUUUGACGGGUAGCCGGCCUGAGAGGGUGACCGGUCACAUUGGGACUGAGAUACGGCCCAG